AUUGAACGCUGGCGGCAUGCCUAACACAUGCAAGUCGAGCGGAUGAAGGGAGCUUGCUCCUGGAUUCAGCGGCGGACGGGGGAGUAAUGCCUAGGAAUCUGCCUUGUAGUGGGGGAUAACGUCCGGAAACGGGCGCUAAUACCGCAUACGUCCUGUGGGAGAAAGUGGGUGAGCUUCGGACCUCACGCUAUCAGAUUAGCCUAGGUCGCAUUAGCUAGUGGGGGGGGUAAAGGCCUACCAAGGCGACGAUCCGUAACUGGGCUGAAAGGAUGAUCAGUCAAACUGGAACUGAAAGACGGUCCAGACCCCUACGGGAGGCACCAGUGGCAAAUUUCGGCCGAAGGGAGCAAGCCUGAACAAGCCAUGACGCGUGUGUGAAGAAGGUAUUCGGAUUGUAAAGCACUUUAAGUUGGGAGGAAGGGCAGUAAGUUAAUCCCUUGCUGUUUAGACGUUACCAACAGAAUAAGCCCCGGCUAACUUCGUG
rnacentral:rRNA from 1 species